CUCCUACGGGAGGCAGCAGUGAGGAAUAUUGGUCAAUGGACGAGAGUCUGAACCAGCCAAGUAGCGUGAAGGAUGACUGCCCUAUGGGUUGUAAACUUCUUUUAUACGGGAAUAAAGUGAGGCACGUGUGCCUUUUUGUAUGUACCGUAUGAAUAAGGAUCGGCUAACUCCGUGCCAGCAGCCGCGGUAAUACGGAGGAUCCGAGCGUUAUCCGGAUUUAUUGGGUUUAAAGGGAGCGUAGGCGGACGCUUAAGUCAGUUGUGAAAGUUUGCGGCUCAACCGUAAAAUUGCAGUUGAUACUGGGUGUCUUGAGUACAGUAGAGGCAGGCGGAAUUCGUGGUGUAGCGGUGAAAUGCUUAGAUAUCACGAAGAACUCCGAUUGCGAAGGCAGCUUGCUGGACUGUAACUGACGCUGAUGCUCGAAAGUGUGGGUAUCAAACAGGAUUAGAUACCCUGGUAGUCCACACAGUAAACGAUGAAUACUCGCUGUUUGCGAUAUACAGUAAGCGGCCAAGCGAAAGCGUUAAGUAUUCCACCUGGGGAGUACGCCGGCAACGGUGAAACUCAAAGGAAUUGACGGGGGCCCGCACAAGCGGAGGAACAUGUGGUUUAAUUCGAUGAUACGCGAGGAACCUUACCCGGGCUUGAAUUGCAACUGAAUGAUGUGGAGACAUGUCAGCCGCAAGGCAGUUGUGAAGGUGCUGCAUGGUUGUCGUCAGCUCGUGCCGUGAGGUGUCGGCUUAAGUGCCAUAACGAGCGCAACCCUUAUCGAUAGUUACCAUCAGGUUAUGCUGGGGACUCUGUCGAGACUGCCGUCGUAAGAUGUGAGGAAGGUGGGGAUGACGUCAAAUCAGCACGGCCCUUACGUCCGGGGCUACACACGUGUUACAAUGGGGGGUACAGAAGGCAGCUACACGGCGACGUGAUGCUAAUCCCUAAAGCCUCUCUCAGUUCGGAUUGGAGUCUGCAACCCGACUCCAUGAAGCUGGAUUCGCUAGUAAUCGCGCAUCAGCCACGGCGCGGUGAAUACGUUCCCGGGCCUUGUACACACCGC
rnacentral:rRNA from 1 species